rnacentral:rRNA from 1 species
GACGAACGCUGACGGCGUGCUUAACACAUGCAAGUCGAACGGAAAGGCCCUGCCUUUGUGGGGUGCUCGAGUGGCGAACGGGUGAGUAACACGUGAGUAACCUGCCCUUGACUUUGGGAUAACUUCAGGAAACUGGGGCUAAUACCGGAUAGGAGCUCCUGCUGCAUGGUGGGGGUUGGAAAGUUUCGGCGGUUGGGGAUGGACUCGCGGCUUAUCAGCUUGUUGGUGGGGUAGUGGCUUACCAAGGCUUUGACGGGUAGCCGGCCUGAGAGGGUGACCGGCCACAUUGGGACUGAGAUACGGCCCAGACUCCUACGGGAGGCAGCAGUGGGGAAUAUUGCACAAUGGGCGGAAGCCUGAUGCAGCAACGCCGCGUGCGGGAUGACGGCCUUCGGGUUGUAAACCGCUUUCGCCUGUGACGAAGCGUGAGUGACGGUAAUGGGUAAAGAAGCACCAGCUAACUACGUG